CACCAGCAAAAAGCUGCUCCGACGAAGAAACCAUCCGGUCCGGCGGCGGCGGCUAAGAAGCAGCCGGCGAAGCUCCCUACGAAGCCACCUCCUCCGACUCAGGCUGGUGAGAAUCAGCUCUGCUUUUUUUAUGUUUUAUUUCCUUCAAUCAAUGUUUAUCGAUGCAAAAGUCGAGCAUACAUGGUUAAUUAUUUGUAAAUUUUGAUGUAAAUCUUAAUACUUGGUCACCUAACCUUCGUUAUAGUUUGAGGCGGGUCAAUGGCACAGUCCCGUGGAUUCAACAAGUAUAAAACAAUGAGUACUGAGUGCAGAAACUAUAAAGAUCUAUAAGAAUAAAAUCCGGCAUGCUACUAGAAUAUGUGGGGAAGAACAAGAGUCAAAAAUUGCUAUCUCAUCAGAUUGGUGAAGAUGCCCCAUUUAAGAAGAUUGAUAGCCAUAAAGUGAAAAGUGAGUUGUGAAUGUCUCCCAGGUCUUCAAUAUAUUAAAAGUGACAAGUGGGUCUCACAAUAUUAUUAAGUUUAAAAAGGUAAAGUUGCUCAAACAACCGGAGACAAUUGUUCGACAACUGCAUUAGUUGUCCCGAUGGCUAUCAAAGUUGUCCAACAACUUUGCACAGUUAUCCAACAACUUUUAUAGUUGUUGGAGCAAAAAUAUUAAAAUAAAAAACUGAAAGAAAUUUGUCACUUUUACCUAAUUUUUAAAAUUUGAAGAACCGCCACUUAAUUGACAAACUUAUUUGUCACUUUUAAUUGCAUAUCCCGCCAUAAAGAGUAAGGUUUGAUGGUUAAUGAUGAAGAAUAAAGGGUCAAUUAAUUUGGUCAGAAUAACCCUAGAGAAGAUUUUAAUAUCCUCUCAUUAACCACUCGUUCAAUGCUAAUUAAUGCAUAUUAUGAAUGAACUCGUGUAACGGCGGGGGUGCCACGGUACACACACGCCUCUGUCGAAAUUUAUUAUAUAUGUGUGUGUAUUAUAUAAUGUGUGUAUUAUAUAAUAUAUUACAAAUAUUGAAAUUGCCACCCCCAGUAACAAUGUAGCGCAUGGUGUCAAUGGUAGCAGGUCAAAUUCUAUGACUCUCGGACUCGAGUUCUAUUCCAACAUGACACAUUUUGUUGGUUCAUUUUUGUGUCUUUUUCAUUUCUUUUGUAAAAAUAGGUUCUCACGGAGAUUCGAUCCCACGAGAAGCUUGAUUUGGAGCUAUCAACUUAGCCAUUAGGCGAUAGGCACCAUAUACUCAAUAGAUGUAUUACUAUAUUAUAUUCACGAUCUAUUCAUUUGAUACCAAGUUGUAAACGUUCUUGAUUUUUGUUGACAUUUAAAUUUUUUUGCUGAUUUUUUCUUCCUUUUUAUUUUAAGAAUAAAAUAUUACUUCCCCCGUCUCAAUUUAUGUGCACACUUUUCUUUUUAGGCUAUCACAAAAAGAAUACUAUCUUUCUAUAAUUAGAAAUAACUUAACUUUAAGGUUCUCCUUUUAUCCCUAAUGAAAUAAUUUAUAGUCACAUAAGUUGCCAUAAUCAUUUCAUUUUCUUGGUUCGAUCCAUUUAUCUUUAUAAAUCGAAAAGACGAAUAAACAACGAAGUUUUCCCGCGUAGAAAAUUGGUUAAUAUUUGGUCGAUUUGAUCAAUACGUCUAUAUUUAAAGCAAUAUGGCACCCAUAACCUUUCCAAAUCCUGGAACCGCUUCUAAAUUUAAGGGAAUCUGAGUAGCGAGAAACAGAUGGGAAGUAAAAAGGAUUUGACUGAACUUCGAUGAACUGUUAAUUUGUCUUAUAAGAGAAAUAUCAUUGUUGAUGAAAUGAAACGAAACCCAGCUAAAUUAGGAAGAAUAGAGAAAAUUCCUACAGAUGACCCCAACAUUAAUUGGGUUUGAUGCAUAGCUGUUGUCUGUAAAGCGGUACCUCGGGAAACAAUCUUUCAAUUGUGAUGUGUUUGCUAACUAUGGGAGUACUUGUCUGGGUUCUAAAUUUAAUAUUUGUAUACAUUUAUAUAUUUAAUGACCUUUUAACAUAGAUACACAAUUUGAGCAAAAUCUAUUGGGUUCAGCCGAACCCGUUUUGGGGCUUCUAGCUCCGCCCCUGCUAAUUGCUAUCCACUCAUUUGUGUAUUUGCACGUGAUUUAUUUUUAUAGGCAUGGUAAAGUUGUUAGUUUAAAAGGGAAGUUGUGAAUGAUCCAUUAAAGAAUAGUGCUAGUUUCUCCGAUUCUACUUCUUAUAUGGUGUGUGUGUGUGUGUGGUGGUGGUGGUGGUGGUGUCCUAAAUGAUCUAUGCUCUGUUUUGGAAUAAUGAUGUAUCAUGCAAAUAAUAUUGUCUGAUAAUAAUCACACGGAUAGUCAUUUGUUGAAUUUAAACUGCAUAAAAUUAUUUUUCUAAUGUUUUUUGGUGGGAGUCAAAAUAUGUCCUCCUACCAUGGUUUAAACUUUUCAUUUUUCUAUCUUUGAUGAUUACACAAUCAGUAAAACAUUAUCAUCUCAUAUUUUUUCUUAUGUAUAUCAGCUUGCCCGACUUUCUGGAAUUUCGAUUUCAACUCCUAAUUACUAUGAGACCAACUUGGUGCAUUGUCAAUGCUUAUUUAUCAAAAGGAAAGUUAUCAUGAUCUGUGUAGACCUUCAAAUGUUACAGUCUAUAGGUGUGACAUAAUUGUGAUUAGAAGUGGCAAAAGGGGGCUAGGUAUGUUUAAAAUCACACGACUAAUUGUAGAUGAAUUCUUUAUCUUAGGAUUGAUGCGACUUUGCUAAGAGUAUUAACAUAGUUGAAGUAACGUACCCGUGCCUUGUAAAAAUAAAUUAUUAAAAAUUGAAGCCAAGUACACAGAUAGAUGAUACCAAGUAUUUAAGAUUCAUGCUUAGUAAGGAUAAGAUAAGUAUGCAUUUAAAGAACAUCUAGUUCUGUAGAAUUCCUAAAUUAUUUUAAAUUGCUUAGCAGUAUGUGUAUUGGAUUGAAUAGAUGGAACAUAUAGAGGACUCCUAUCAGCCACUCCAAUUAGUUUGGGAUGAAGGUAUUGAUCCAACAAAAAGGAACUAGUUUAAGAUUGAGACGUAAUUUAUUGAUAUACAAAUAAAAUUAUACAACAACAACAAAAAACCCAGUGUAUUCCCACCUAGUGGGGUCUGGGGGGGUAAGAUGUACGCAGUCCAUACCUCUACCUCUGAAGAAGUAGAAAGGCUUUUUGUCUUAUUUAUGGUCUCUCUUCAAAAGAAGGAGCAAGAAUUCAAUUCCUUCUGUUAUUCAAGCCUUUUGGUCUUGGCAUUUCACUUUUUAUAUUCUAUACAAGAUGUCUGAUUGUAGCCAGUUCUCUGUUAUUCUAUUUUGAUUUUCUCAUGCUUGUUGCUUGUCACGUUCAAAAGUGCUAGCAAAUUGACUGGAAUUAAGUGCUUCCUCUUAAAUAAUAGUACGGAUGAGUUACUUUUUUUUUCUGUCCCUCAAUCUGCCUUAGGCUUCUGUUUAUAAUCAUUGCACUUAUGGUUCCUUUCCUCUUUUUUCUUUUGCCAGUAUUCAAAAUUUGUACUUAUUUCUUCUCUGUUUUAACUGUGUAGUGAGGGAGGCAAAAACAGAAUUUGGACGUGGUGGAGGUAGUGGUGGUGGACGUGGCUACAGCCGUGGUCGUGGUGGAGGUGGGUUUAAUAGGGAAUCAUCCAACAAUGAGAACUUUCCUCGCAACAGAGAAUUUUCAGGUGGCAUAGUUGCACCUGAAUAUGUGGAAGGAGGAAGACCCUCUGAAAGACGUGGUGGUUAUGGUGGACCC
rnacentral:lncRNA from 1 species